ensembl:lncRNA
AAAACAGUGAGUCAGGCUGCGGGGGAGCCGGGGAGAGGGGGCUCUGCCCUCGCAGCCGCCUGGGAGGCGGGGACCCGUCCUGCAGAUGGAGGCACAGCCGGGCGAGGGUUAGACCGGCCGUGGAGCCGGGGACACUGGCCAGACGCCCCCCACCUGCUGCUCAGCCCCGAGUGGGUACUGCCCGCAGACGGCCGUGAGAAAUCACCAGGUCCCAGGGACAGCUGGCCCUUCUGAGGGGCCUCUCGUUUCCAAAGACCUAUGGACCGCAGGCAGAGGCUGGAGCCUGCCC